CAGGCCUAACACAUGCAAGUCGAACGGGUUGUACUUCGGUACAGCUAGUGGCGGACGGGUGAGUAACACAUAGGAAUCUGCCCGAGAGUGGGGGAUAACCCAGGGAAACUUGGAUUAAUACCGCAUGAUCUCUACGGAGUAAAGCUGGGGACCUUCGGGCCUGGCGCUUUUGGAGGAGCCUAUGUCUGAUUAGCUUGUUGGUGAGGUAACGGCUCACCAAGGCGACGAUCAGUAACUGGUCUGAGAGGACGACCAGUCUCACCGGAACUGAGACACGGUCCGGACUCCUACGGGAGGCAGCAGUGGGGAAUAUUGGACAAUGGGCGAAAGCCUGAUCCAGCAAUGCCGCGUGUGUGAAGAAGGCCUUCGGGUUGUAAAGCACUUUAGGAUGGAAAGAAAAAACUUCAGUUAAUAGCUGAAGUCUUGACGGUACCAUCAGAAUAAGCACCGGCUAACUCUGUGCCAGCAGCCGCGGUAAUACAGAGGGUGCAAGCGUUAAUCGGAAUUACUGGGCGUAAAGCGCGCGUAGGCGGCUGAUUAAGUCGGAUGUGAAAGCCCCGGGCUCAACCUGGGAACUGCAUACGAUACUGAUCGGCUAGAGUAUGAGAGAGGGAGGUAGAAUUCCACGUGUAGCGGUGAAUGCGUAGAUAUGUGGAGGAUACCGGUGGCGAAGCGGCCUCCUGGCUUAUACUGACGCUGAGUGCGAAAGCGUGGGGAGCAAACAGGAUUAGAUACCCUGGUAGUCACGCGUAACGAUGUCACUAGCGUCGUGACCUAGUGUCAUGGUGGCGCCAGCUACG
rnacentral:rRNA from 1 species